rnacentral:rRNA from 1 species
UACGUAGGGGGCAAGCGUUGUCCGGAUUUACUGGGCGUAAAGCGCGCGCAGGCGGUCCUUUAAGUCUGAUGUGAAAGCCCACGGCUCAACCGUGGAGGGUCAUUGGAAACUGGGGGACUUGAGUGCAGAAGAGGAAAGCGGAAUUCCACGUGUAGCGGUGAAAUGCGUAGAGAUGUGGAGGAACACCAGUGGCGAAGGCGGCUUUCUGGUCUGUAACUGACGCUGAGGCGCGAAAGCGUGGGGAGCAAACAGGG